rnacentral:lncRNA from 1 species
GAGCCACGUGCACUUGAAGAAUUGAUCUCAUGCGACUCUUCGCAUGAAGAGUCCUUCUGCCAUGGGAAAAAAGAUGCAUCCCCUAGUUGAUGUCUCUGCAAUUUCAAUUUAGAUUCAAAUGGAGACACACAUGGCAAAUAUCAAAUUUAUCUGAAGAGAGGAUGGAUGCCAAAAUGCCAGUUGAUUAUAGCACACACAUGGGG